rnacentral:misc_RNA from 1 species
AAGAGAGCAAGCCAAACACCUAAUCUUUCCCCGAAUGCAGCUUGUGCAAGCUCGACAUAUCUGUUAUACCUCUUUCCCGGAACAGCUUCAUGUAGCUGAACUAAAAUCCACAAGGUAUAAAGUUGCCAGAAGUAGGCUAUGGUCAAGGACAAUAUUCCCCAACUCCAGCCAAGGAAAGCGAAGGCAACAGGCAAAACCAGGGCCUGAAAUCCAACACCAGCAUUGAGAUUAUGAAACGCAGCGUAAUGAGCGUUGCCAUUGCGAGACUCAGUGAUGGGUAGCCAAGCAUCUUGUGGGUUGAGCUUGGUUAGGUGUCCAACCUCCUCCAAAUAUCCCUUCAUGUUUAUCAAAACCCUCUUCAUCGGCGUCCCUAUGGGGCUCAAAAACCUCGGCGAUAUGAACGACGUUGGUGUCCAAGCAUUCGACGAUUUCGCUUCCUUCGAAGGAGGCCUCGGCGAUCGCUGACCUGACGGCGUUAGAAUCUCCGGCGUCGAGGCACGGGGAGUCGCCGGAAUGGAUAUGAGCUCCGUCUCUGGCCUCUCCUCCAUCUCUCUCUCCCCCUCUAUCUCUCUGUAUCACUACUAACUCAAAUGCUUGUCUCUGGACGAAGAAGUGAGUACGAGAAGGAAGAAAUAAUCAAAGAAUGGACUUUCUCUGCUAUUUCAUUUGUUCUUUUCUGGUUAUUGGAGAGAGAAAGAAACGUAGAAAACUCACCCAGUGACUGAACACUGAAGAGG